rnacentral:lncRNA from 1 species
CUUACCAAGAUUCUCCAUCCCAAUUUUCUUGUGCUUCUUCUUCUCAUAGCCAGCAGCAGAAGACACAACUUUACUGGAUUUUCCUCCUCCAACAGAGUGAGAGUUGGAGUACUCUCCUCCGCCUCCUCCACCGCCGCCGGAGGCAGGUGGAGCAGAAGCAGAGAUCGGCAUUGGGGACGCAGCUCCGGCGGCGGCGGCAUCCGGUGCAUACUUCCUCGGCCUCCCUCUCUUCUUCUUCUCUCCGGUGACCGGAGAUGACAGCACCACCAUCUGCUGCUGAUGAUGUUGAGAAACCCCUCCGCCGCCG